rnacentral:rRNA from 1 species
AGUGAACGCUGGCGGUAGGCCUAACACAUGCAAGUCGAACGGCAGCACAGUAAGAGCUUGCUCUUACGGGUGGCGAGUGGCGGACGGGUGAGGAAUACAUCGGAAUCUACUUUUUCGUGGGGGAUAACGUAGGGAAACUUACGCUAAUACCGCAUACGACCUACGGGUGAAAGCAGGGGAUCUUCGGACCUUGCGCGAUUGGAUGAGCCGAUGUCGGAUUAGCUAGUUGGCGGGGUAAAGGCCCACCAAGGCGACGAUCCGUAGCUGGUCUGAGAGGAUGAUCAGCCACCCUGGAACUGAGACACGGUCCAGACUCCUACGGGAGGCAGCAGUGGGGAAUAUUGGACAAUGGGCGCAAGCCUGAUCCAGCCAUACCGCGUGGGUGAAGAAGGCCUUCGGGUUGUAAAGCCCUUUUGUUGGGAAAGAAAAGCAGCAGGUUAAUACCCCGCUGUUCUGACGGUACCCAAAGAAUAAGCACCGGCUAACUUCGUG